rnacentral:rRNA from 1 species
UACGUAGGGUGCAAGCGUUAAUCGGAAUUACUGGGCGUAAAGCGUGCGCAGGCGGUUUUGUAAGUCUGUCGUGAAAUCCCCGGGCUUAACCUGGGAAUGGCGAUGGAGACUGCAAGGCUAGAGUUUGGCAGAGGGGGGGUAGAAUUCCACGUGUAGCAGUGAAAUGCGUAGAGAUGUGGAGGAACACCGAUGGCGAAGGCAGCCCCCCUGGGUCAAAACUGACGCUCGAGUGCACGAAA